GCUAUGAUCCCCUCUUCAUGCAUCCUGACCUGUCCUUUGGUACCCAUACCGGCAGCUGUGGCCACAUCAUGCACUCUCUCUGCUGGCAGAGAUACUUUGAGACACUCCAGAGUCAGGAUGCGCAGUGGCUGCAUGAGCAAACCAGUUACGAUGUAGAGAAUGGGGAGUACUUGUGUCCACUCUGUAAGUGUCGCAGUAACACUCAUUCCUCUCCUGCCCCUCACUGAGACCACCUGCAGGUACUCGCAUACAAACUUGUGGUUGUGAUUAUUCUAAGUGGAGUUGCUCUGAAUCCGGACCGCUUAAUAUUUUAACCAUUGCAUUGGCGAAUUAGUUGUAGUGGCUCUGUAACCAAUGCAAGCUUGCCUAUGAAAUGCCAUGGAAGGGUACAGAAUGACACUGUAACAGUGCAUACCCCAUUCCAUUAUUCCUCUUAUUUAUUUAUAUAUUUUAUAGCAAGGGAAUUGAUAUCAUCUGUAGCUGAAUUGCAUGUCUUGCCAUGUUGAGAUCAGAGUAUAGAAUUUAUGCUUAUGUAAGAUGGCUAAUCCACUGCUGUUUCAUGAUAUUUAGUCACACUGACUCAGUUUAUUACAGUAAAUUUGCCAGUUGUCCCAUUGAGGUGACAUUUUCUCUGGUUAAAUAGUAAAAUGCAUGCAUGUUUGUAGUUACAGCAAUAGUGAGCAGCCAGGUCUGGCUCAUUGGCUGAAUACAACGUAUAUAAGCAGAUCAGAGCCUUGCACUCUGCUCAUAAGAGAGCCAAGCCAACAAAUGCUGGUGAGACAGAGACUGUGGAGGACUCUCCUCCUCCUGAGAGUUUCAGGCUGGACCACACACCAGUCAACCCUUAUUCAAGCUCCAUAAGGGAGAUGCUGAUGACAUUUGGGACCGCCACUUAUAAAGUUGGCCUUAAGGUGCACCCUAAUGAGCAGGACCCCCGUGUGCCUAUCAUGUGCUGGGGUAGCUGUUCUUACACCAUCCAGUCUAUAGAGAGAUUAUUGGUAGAUGAGGAGAAGCCUUUGUUUGAAAGUUUACCCUGUAGACAGGUAUGACAACCAAACUUAUUGUCAUAUCUCAGCCCAGCCAGGACUCGGUUUCCCGAGAAGCAACACAGUAUUCUACUGUGUUUAUUCGAUAAGUGACUUUGGCCUUUGCAUACGUCCCCGACCACGAUUUCUGUCUUGCCCCGUUUGUUUUGUUUGCAUGAUGCCUGACCCUCGCUUGCUUCUUGACUAUGGACUGUGUUCACCCCUCUGGAUUAUUCUGCCUGAACCUGCCGCCCGCUUCUGCUUCUGUAUUCCCCACGGAGACUAUUUGAGUUCCCUGGCUCGGUUUGGCUCUGCAUGCUGGACUGUCUCCUCUCACUCCUCUGUGCAAAAUCACUUCAUGCGACUGUUGGCAGGUGAAACCCAGGGCUCAAACCAAGAGAAGACAUUCAGAGCUAUUCAUUCUUUAAAGUCAAUUUAACAAGUUUCCUUCUGCUUCUGAGUUCAAAGAGCUUUUUCUCAUCCCCAUCCUGGAUCGCCCCUACAGCUGCCUGUUUGGUACAUUCCUCUACAGCAGUGAGCAGGAGAGAAUGGAAAAGGAAGUACAGGGUAAAACGGUCACUGUGGUCCUACAUUAAGUCAGCCAGAGGACUUCACUAACCCGUUCUAUGUGGACUGUAAAAACCAGGUGCUGUAUCCACUGGCCAGUCUCACACAUCUGGAUCUCUGGGUGGGUUAUUAUGUGCGCUGGAACCCACGCAUGAGACCACAGAUGCCGCUCCAUCAGAAUUUGAGAGUUAUUGUUUUUGCGUGGAGGAGCUCCAGAGAGAGGCCACGUCAAAAAGAACGUGGAGAACGUGGAGGAGCUCCAGAGAGAGGCCACGUCAUCCUGCUCCAUCUCCUCAUCCUCAGAGCAUACUUCUCCCUCCUCACAUAGUGGCACACCACUUCACACUGCCGUCUAAAUACACAAGCACACACACACACAUACAUUUAAGAGCACACACUGUCUUUACUCAAUGAAUACACUCUCAGGCACAAGUAUGGAUUGGAUGAGUAUGAAGCGGACACACACACACACACACACACACACACACACACACACACACAUUCCUGUUUGUAAUUUUUUUUUUUUAACUAUAGAGAAGUAACCUAGUGUCACAUUUUAUAAAUGCUUAAUACUUAAAAAUGGAUCUUGGAAUGAUAGUCAGCAUGUCUGCAGCAUGAACUCACAGUAUUUAUAAUCUAGUAUUUGACCUGUAAAUAUGUAAAAAAGAGAAGUAUUAAUAUAUUUGUCCAUACACGUCAUGUUCAUCUUUCCCUGUGGUCUCAUUUGCUCCUCUGUGCCAACUCCCUUUCAUCUUUUAACAUUUCAAUACAGUUUUUAGCUACUUGAAGGUUUUUGUUUGUUUUUCCCCCCAAAGUGAAUCAUCCAUCUAUUUUUGUAUUUUAUUAGUUACUUUCCAUUUUAUGUCCGCUCUGUCAUCACACUGAAGCGUGAUAGUUAUGUCAGUAUUAUUCAUUUCUCACAGACCUGCCUUUCACCUUGCUAAUAUAUGGAAGCACUGAAUAAAUGGUCAAUUUGUCAUGUUUUUGUAUGAAGGUGUUAAAAUGUUGAGUUGUACGGCUUUCCUGCCUCGUGGACUUUUCACCGGUAUCGUUUGAAUAAAUCAAACUGGUAAUGAAAAGUGUCGUUACUGAUAGGGAAGCAAAACCGAGACAAAGAUCUGAAUGUGAAAAUCCAUUGAAUUUGGAAAUGAAAUUUCGACACCAUUGAAUUAAUAGAAUCCGUGUAUCAUAUCAUUCGUUCUUUUCAUAUUCAAUUAUCCAAUUAUCCGAAAAUGGAAAAAUGGCUUAUUUUAUUAUUCAUUUACAGAUCCAAAACGAAACAGAGAGAAAAAAACAAACAAGUCGUUUUCCGUUCUUCCAAUCUCACGCUCAAGUUAAAAAUAAGCGAUCAGAAAACGGGUCAAAUGUCCAGGUUUCAUUUGAACAUUUUAUUCAUUUUUUUCGAUUGACUAUGACCCAGAAGUUACUGGUUUCUUCACGUGUUGUGCUGGAUAAAGAGGUUUUUAUUUUGGUUUAUUUGUUUAGUUUUUUGCUGAAGAGCAUGGGGAGAUUCGUACUGUUUAAGGGAGCCAAAUGUGUAACCCUCAGAGAAGACUGCAAAAAUAUUAACUGCAGUUAAACCAGUCAAUAAUCCUUUAUAAUCCUAUAAACGUUUUUGUUUUUACGCUUUUACAUUUUAGAAAAUGGGCAAAAUCAAGUUUAAAGAGAGGCUGUAAUAAAAAUACAGUUUUUGGAGUAUCAGGGUCGGCGCAGUGGCUUUGUAGUUAGCUUCUUUGCUUCACACCCCCAGGUUGUACUCUGGUUUCCUCCCCUAGUCCAAAGACAUGCGUUGUAAAUUGUCCGUAGUGUGUGAACAGGUGUAUGAUGGGCUUACACCUCGUCCACGGUGGCCCCUGUCUUGUGCCCCGAGUCCCCUGAGAUAGACUCCAGGGUGACCCUGUGUAAGAUCGAUGGAAUAUCUGAUUUAAUGAACACUGAAAAACUUUUCAUUUCUUUAUUUGAAAGCAUGUAACAUCAGCAUGA